GCAGUAGCCACGGUAAUACGUAGGGUGCAAGCGUUAAUCGGAAUUACUGGGCGUAAAGCGUGCGCAGGCGGUUAUAUAAGACAGAUGUGAAAUCCCCGGGCUCAACCUGGGAACUGCAUUUGUGACUGUAUAGCUAGAGUACGGCAGAGGGGGAUGGAAUUCCGCGUGUAGCAGUGAAAUGCGUAGAUAUGCGGAGGAACACCGAUGGCGAAGGCAAUCCCCUGGGCCUGUACUGACGCUCAUGCACGAAAGCGUGGGGAGCAAACAGGAUUAGAUACCCGCGUAGUCCCUGUCUCUUAUAC
rnacentral:rRNA from 1 species